GACAGAGGUGCCGAGCGUUAUGCGGAAUCACUGGGCGUAAAGCGUGUGUAGGCGGGCCGUUAAGUAUGUUGUGAAAUCCCCCGGCUCAACCGGGGAAUGGCUGGAUAUACUGGCGGUCUUGAGCGAUGUAGGGGCAGAUGGAACAAGUGGUGGAGCGGUGAAAUGCGUAGAUAUCACUUGGAACGCCAAAGGUGAAAACAGUCUGCUGGGGAUCUGCUGACGCUGAGACACGAAAGCCAGGGGAGCGAACGGG
rnacentral:rRNA from 1 species